UGGGGAAUAUUGCACAAUGGGCGGAAGCCUGAUGCAGCAACGCCGCGUGCGGGAUGACGGCCUUCGGGUUGUAAACCGCUUUCGCCUGUGACGAAGCGUGAGUGACGGUAAUGGGUAAAGAAGCACCGGCUAGCUACGUGCCAGCAGCCGCGGUGAUACGUAGGGUGCGAGCGUUGUCCGGAUUUAUUGGGCGUAAAGGGCUCGUAGGUGGUUGAUCGCGUCGGAAGUGUAAUCUUGGGGCUUAACCCUGAGCGUGCUUUCGAUACGGGUUGACUUGAGGAAGGUAGGGGAGAAUGGAAUUCCUGGUGGAGCGGUGGAAUGCGCAGAUAUCAGGAGGAACACCAGUGGCGAAGGCGGUUCUCUGGGCCUUUCCUGACGCUGAGGAGCGAAAGCGUGGGGAGCGAACAGGCUUAGAUACCCUGGUAGUCCACGCUGUAAACGGUGGGUACUAGGUGUGGGGUCCAUUCCACGGGUUCCGUGCCGUAGCUAACGCUUUAAGUACCCCGCCUGGGGAGUACGGCCGCAAGGCUA
rnacentral:rRNA from 1 species